rnacentral:rRNA from 1 species
AUACGAAGGGUGCUAGCGUUGUUCGGAAUUACUGGGCGUAAAGAGCAUGUAGGCGGAUAGAUUAGUCAGAGGUGAAAGCCCCGAGCUCAACUCGGGAACUGCCUUUGAUACUGUUUAUCUGGAGACCGAGAGAGGUGAGUGGAAUUCUCAGUGUAGAGGUGAAAUUCGUAGAUAUUGGGAAGAACACCAGUGGCGAAGGCGGCUCACUGGCUCGGAACUGACGCUGAGAUGCGAAAGCGUGGGGAGCGAACAGGAUUAGAAACCCUAGUAGUCC